rnacentral:lncRNA from 1 species
CUUCAUUAUAAUCUUAUGGGAACCACUGUUGUAUGUGUGAUCUAUUGUUGACUGAAAUGUCUUUUUACAGCAUAUGACCACAUAGAUAAUGGAUAUAAGUGAUACUGGUGAAUAUGAAGACAACAGGAAGGAAUUAAUGCAGGAGAAGAAAUCUUAGAGAACAACAUCAUUGAAAGGAUAGACCAUUAAAAGGAUCUUUGUUGAAGGAGCAAUCAGAGAUGUCAGAGGAAAUUUUUUAAAAGGUGUUGUCAUAGACACCAAUGGAAGAGAAGAGAAUUUCAAGAGGAAGAGAGUUCUAAGUAGUGUUUGUGGAAAAUGUUUCCAGGGAGCCAAGUUGCACUUAUUUGAUUUGGUAACUAGAGGGUUAAUAAUGCCCUCAGGAAAGAGUGGUUUUAGUAGAGUGGUGGGGUGUUAAUGACAUUAGUAAGGGUAAAAGAGUGAAUAAGGGAUAAAGAAGAACAGAGAAUUAUAGAAUAAUCUUUCGAGAACCUUAGCUGUGAAGGGAAGGAAAAAGAUGAAAUUCAUUCUGCAUUUUCGUUAAUAGCAAAAAUAGCCUCUGAGUAAAAACCAUUUUUGCAAUCCUUGGUGACCAGAGUGAAUUUGCCAGAUCAACAAAUGUUCGUACACCCUUCUUUGAUUCUCAUAAAAUGGAGUGGGUAACUCCAGACAGCCUUCAUGGAGAUAAGACCACUAGAUUGUUACCAGGUUCCAGCAAGCCCACAGGACCGAGAAGAAACUGCCUUCACCUCAACAGCAAUUGUUGAGGAAACUGAAUUGGACUAUUUCUCCACUGCAAGGCAAGACGAUACCAUGAACUGGAUCACUGCACUAAUAGGUCGAUGAGAAAAUGACUUUUUCCUGGAGAAAUACAUCUCUUGUAAAAGGGAUUUUUACUUCGGUUUUUGCAGCUACCAGGAGGAGAAAUGUCAGUCUGCCUAGUCCGACAAGGAAGAGUGAAGUUUUUGCCUAGAGAUCUCAUUAACGGAGAACAGACAGGAUACAACAUCAAGAGCGAAAGGGCAAAUUCCACAGAUGAACCAGUGGCCCCAGAAGCAUCAACUAACUUUGUGACAUUUGAAGGUUGUUUGCUUUCCUUAAUUCAAUUGACUUUCAUCCUUACUGAGGUAGUGGGUUUGACUCAAGGGAGAGGAAGCACU